rnacentral:rRNA from 1 species
GUACUAAUGAUCCGUGAGGCUUAACCUU